rnacentral:lncRNA from 1 species
CAUCCCCUCCUAGAUUGACAUUAAAACAUCGUCUCAGAUCAAGUGAUUCAAGGUUAGGGCAACCAUUAAGAAUAGCUUCCAACCCUUCAUUUGUCAUCUUAUUUCCAACAAGUUGAAGGUCGCGCAGUUUAGGCAGGUUCUCUGCAAUUCCAAUUGCCUCUUCAUCGUAUUCAAUGCAGUGCGCAGUUUAGGCAUGUUCUCUGCAAUUCCAAUUGCCUCUUCAUCGUAUUCAAUGCAGAGAUGUCGAAAUACCAGGUUGUUCAACUUAAAUGACUUCAAAGCACAACAAAAGCAGCCUAUAGUUUCAAUGGAUUCUUUGCUGAUAA